rnacentral:rRNA from 1 species
UACGUAGGGCGCAAGCGUUGUCCGGAAUUAUUGGGCGUAAAGAGCUCGUAGGUGGUUUGUUACGUCUGCUGUGAAAACCUAGGGCUUAACCCUGGGCCUGCAGUGGAUACGGGCAGACUAGAGGUAGGUAGGGGAGAAUGGAAUUCCCGGUGUAGCGGUGAAAUGCGUAGAUAUCAAGAGGAACACCAGUGGCGAAGGCGAGUCCCUGGACAACUUCUGACGCUGAGGCACGAAAGCUAGGGGAGCAAACAGG